UUGACGUCUACUGAGAAUGCCUGCGUCAUUAAAGUCUUGUUAAAAUUGCAAUCUUGAUGUCGUGUGGUUUUACCUGGAAUUUAGCGUCUCAGAACUGUGCCCGAUGUGCUGUGAUGGCCACAGGACCUUUUUCUGACAGAAUGCAAUGCAACAGAUGUUUUGUUGCCACUGUAAAUAAAAGAUCUAUAGUGUCACUCUUGUCUUCAUGAAUUGCUAGCUCACACGUAAGAAGAAAAAGGAAGUUAAAGUUUUUGGUUUUGUCAUUGUGUUUAUUGCAGACUUUGUUUGUCACAUGGUGAAGGCUACUGUUAAAAAUGAAAACCAAAAAAAUUCUUUUAUUUACGGUGA